rnacentral:lncRNA from 1 species
UAUUGCCAAAUGUUUCCUGGCAUCUCUCUACCUAUAAAAUUGGUCAUGAGCCUGUUUCAUGGUAAUUUCCUUUACCCUUCUGGAUUAGGAUAUACUAAGUAUAUCAAGAUGAAUAUCUAAAAAACAAAAAUUACAGAAACAUUCUAGAAUGAUACAGAUCCCAUGUAACUGGAUAGAUCUACAUUUUAGUGUUUCUUGAAAUUAAAUGUAUAUAGUCAAUCAUCAAAUUGCAUCACAGAUUCUGAUUUGCAUGGUCUUGAAGAGGGGAAUGAGUUUCCAAAUGUUUAACAAGCUUCUAUAUAAUGCUAAUUAUGAUUCUCCCAAUCUAUGAACUACACUUUAAGUAAAAAGACAGAAGAUUGUUCUUUCAGCUACAGAGGCUGCAGCUGAGGACUCCUGGCCUUUGCUGCAAGGUGUCAGUAUUCUAGUUCUUCACUCUUUCUGUCCUCAAUAUGAAGCAGGAAUUGUACACAUGCUCUCAGCAUCCUAUAAUGAAAAACCAUGGCAUAUGCCAACUUCACAUAUUUUCCAUAUUUAAGAAAGCAGAUUUGUAUAUGUUUGAGAGACCAUAUUGAGAUAAAUUUAAUUUUUUCUAAUUGUUAAAAAUCAAACCACUUGCACACUUAGGCAUUUAAUGGAUCACUCACUAAUUAUAGACCAUUUAAAACAAAGCUAAUGCAGUGUCUUCAUUGUAAACACCUCACAUCAUGCGGACGCAUUUGGAGCUAAAGUUUAGGGCUCUGCAUUGAGAAGCAGUCACCUUGUGCUUAAGCUCUGCAAUUGGUAACUUGUAUCCUACAAUCUUAGCAGUAACUUUAUUUUGGAAAAACUUUAAUAAUAAACCAGUAAAUGUGGUGGUGAAGUCAGUGUUAUGAAUUGGGUGAGGCAUGAAGAUGAGGGAAAAACAAAUUCAUUAGAUAGAAACAAUUAAUCCAGUUUCUCAGUUAAUAUGUAGGUAAAUACAGGAAUCUGCAAAAAAUUUGAAACAGUGUAAAUUGUAUUGUCAUGUGUUAAGAGUUCCUUUUAGCUGCUUAUCAGGAAAUUUGUCUUUUUUAAUUCAAGAACCUUGACCAUAUUAAUUUUCAGCUAUGAGACUAGAUAGUUUAUGGGCAGGGAGCCUACUAGGACAUAACCACCAGAGUUUGUAAUGACCCAUAGAAAAACUAAAACCUUUCUAAGAAAAUUUACUUUUCAAAGGUAGUUGUCCAUGAAUUUAAAAGUCCUACCCAAAACUUGCUGAUAAUAUAUAUUGCUCUCCUGGGAUCAUUUCAAUAAGAUAGUAAUAUUCUGAAGCUGUUUCUUAAUUCAGAUGGAGAUAUUUUAAUAAACUAAUUCUAUAAGCAUGCAUGAAGACAUCGAGGUGGCAUUCACACAGUUGCUCCACAAAUGCACCCAUGCAGGUAAAUACACUCUGGCAUACAGACUUGUAGUUAAUAACGCAUAUUGUAUUUUCAGAUACAUCGUUGUUUUAGUCAGUCCAUACACUUUUCUCUUUCCAACCAACCAUUUUCAAAGCUCAUUACCACAUCACUGUAUGAAUAUAAUUUCACUCAGCACAGCACUUCCUUGUUGAGUGCGGGGUGGAGAAUCGUUCCCUUUGGUGCCUUUGUCUCUUCUCUGGAACAAAGAACCUUACUGCUGUGACCACUUAUGAGAAAAACCUGGCUCACCAGAGGCCCCAUAUGGAGGUCAUUCCAGUGUGUUUCCAGAGGCAGCAUCUGCGUCUUCCAGUGCCUCUGGGGCUGGCUCCUUUAAAGAACUCUAGGGUUGACAUUUAGAAUAGCCAUGAAUUUCCUUUUCAUGUUAAAUUCCAAUAACCUGUAUUCAUAACUAGAUUAACUUGCUAUGUUUAUUGAUGAAAACCAUAUACAUUCCUGACAAUUUGAGCAAUAGUUGGUCAAAGAAUAUAGUAGUAUAUAAUACAAUCAGAUUAAUAGCCAUGCUGUUAAAAUUGCCAUUCCUCUUCAACUCCUAAAAAAAGAGUCAAAUGUCAUGCUCUACUGGACUGUAGACUGUCAGUGUUUUUUUUUUUUUUUCUUAUAAUUAUUGAAUUGUAAAAUGUUAAAAUUGGAAUUUUUAUUUUGUAAAAAGGAACUUUGUAGGAUGUCUGCACUUGUAUUUGCUGAUCCAGUAGAAUGACUGAGUGGUUUCUAAAAAGUUGGUUUGAUUGAGGUGGUAAAAUUCGGCAGUUAGACUUGAAAGUUUCUGUCUCGGCAAGAAAGAAAAGGCUUCAGUUGAAAAUAAAACUAUUUUACUCUUAGAUGUCAAGAUCAUGCCCAAUUAAAAGCCUAAAGCAAAAGUUUGUUUUAAUAAUGAGCUGUCAGUUAAGAAGACUUAUGACAUCAUGAAAAAAUAUUUAUCUUCAGAGAUAUGUAAGAUUCUGUAACUCCAGGUAUCAAUGCUUUGUUAAAUGCACAGCAUAAAACUGACUAUAAAUAAACAAUUUUGGACUAUCACUGUAAAUCUUAUAUUUUGACUUUACCCUGGUUAUAUAAGUAUAAAAUGGGCAUGAUCAAAAGCCAGAAGAAAACUUUUAGCAAAAAAAUUUCAGGGUGACUGCAGUUUUAUUUCAAUGUCAUGUUUGUUUUUUAUUUUAAUUAAUCAUUCUUCAGAAUUGCUUUGAUUACAGUUCUCUUCCUAUUGCUAUGUUUUUAGUGUUUAGAGCUCAUGAAUUGACAGCACAGUCUGCACAAUGACUUGUACCUUAAUUGAAACUGUUGUCCCUCCCAAGUGCAGAGUUGGGCUUCUGCAGCUUCAGCAACUCUUCGCUUCUCAAGAUCAGAACCUAGACACUCAUUCCUGAAUUAUUCCUAAUGCUUAGGCUCUUUAUAUCUAAAAUCCAUGAUUCAGCACAAUGGGUUUAUAUUCAGUAUUGUUUUCACUCACUAGUUCCACCAUUUUUUUACUGUGUUGAGCAACAUUAAUGACCCUUUUUAUUCAUCUUAAACACAGCAUACAUAAGAACAGUUGUAUUACACAAUCAACUUUAACUCGGUAUUACAUUUUAUCACAUAGUGAUCCUUAUUAAGAAAGAAAGAAUAAAGAAAGAUUACUUCCAGAUAAUGAUUCACAUGUUCAAAAAACUGAAUUCCUAGUCCAGCUUAUCCUUCGAAUAAAAGAAAUCAUUGAAAUCUUCAAGAUGGCACACGGUUUGAAUUGUGCCUUGAAUUAUGGGUGAUGGGAGUAAUAAUUAAUUUAGUUCUUAAUUCUGGUCAAUUAUAUAAAACACAUAAUGAGCAUUCAGGAUAUUUACUACUAUUUUAAUUUUCCAAAUGAGAAUUAAGAUUCACAAACAUUUAAUAAAGUACCCAAAAAAACACAGCUAGUGAAUAAUGGGUUUGGAUUUUAAGCUAAGUUGGUUCAUAACCAAUUUUUUUUCUCUAUUCUACCACAUAGGAUACUUAAGAAUAAAAAAGAAAAGAUAUGAUUCUUCUGGAGAAACAUAGAACUAUACAUUGUGCAAUGGGCCUAUGUUUAUCUAGACUUGUCCCCUGACACUACAAAUAAGCAGACUGUGAUUCAUACAUAUCAAGAGAAUUUCCCAUAGACAUGUCCAAAGUAACAUUGGAGUUAGGACUAAAUGUGUGUGUUUUGAUUCCUACUUAGGUUCCUCUUCCUCUCUACACCCUGUAAAUUGAUGUCAGCAAAGCUAUGGAUGAGGACUUAUUUAGGAAAAAUAAAUACAUGUGAGAACAUUCACAGCUCCCUUCUAGCUUCUGAACAUUAGGAACUUGUGAACUUUAUAUGGCUCUAUAAAUUAAAGGACAGAUAUAAGUAGCAUGACAUAAAGGAGAGAAAGUUCUGCUGCUGGAUAUGUAUUGUUUCAUCCGAAAACAAAGCCUGAGGAACAUUUACAUUAGUCAGGUGAUCAGAACAGCAAUUGCAAUAGAGAAACUACUAAAGUUUAACUAAAGAAGAGGUUAUGUUCUUGAAAUAUAGCAGGUGGAAAAUGGAAGAGACAUGGAUAUCCUGAAGAAUUGAUGAAAGCAGUCUUCUAGAAGAACACCUAUUUGAGGGCUAUUUAAUCAGGAUGUUAAUGAUUGCUUAUUGAGUGGUGAAUUUUUCCGCCCACUGUCCCAUAAAAAAUACAAAGAUGUGAAAGUUAAAGAGUCUCAGUCUUAGGAAGGAUUUCCAGAUUGAGCUGGAGAAGUAUGCUGUUAACCUAUUUAAACACAAGGUACGUGUUUGGGAAAAGUUGAUGAUCUUGCUCAGAAGUUUUAGUGCUAAUUUUAUACAAUUGAAAUAUUUUCAGUAAUGGCAAUAAAUAUUAAAUUUCUAAAAGCAUAUAAUACAAUUUGAGUAUUUUCUUCUGAGGCAGGCGUAUAAACUAAUGUGUUUGCCAACUCAUACUAACAUCUAGUUUGGAAUAAUCUUCAAUACAACAGAUAUUUUUCAGUUGGGAUCUAAAUAGAUUUGAUUCUUAAGAUCAGCAACAAAUAUGAAGGAAUGAGCCAGGCCUAGGAUAAAAAAUUUUCUUCCAGUCUCUACCUUCUGAAAGAAUCCUGCACUAUGUAGUCUAUUCUCUAUUUAUUUUCAUCAGAACCUUUUUAAUUAUUCUUUGUGUUAGAGAGAUAGAUAGUGGUGAGCUGUCCAGCCUUUACUGCAUGACAACUUUAUUCUAAGUUCACCUUUCUGACCUGAUUUUUUUUUUUUUUUUUUUUUUUUUUUGGCUUUUUAGGGCUUCUCCCAUGGCAUAUGGAGGUUCCCAGGAUAGGGUCAGAAUCGGAGCCAUAGCUGCUGGCCUACACCACGGCCACAGCAACACAGGAUCCGAGCCACGUCUGCAGCUUACACCAGAGCUCACAGCAAUGCCAGAUCCUUAACCCACUAAGCAAGGCCAGGGAUUGAACCUGCAUCCUUAUGGGUGCUAGUCAGAUUUCUUUCUGCUGAGCCUUGACAGGAACUCCCUGACCUGAUUUUUUUUUUUUAAUGGAGUAUAUCUUUUAGAAUAUGAGUCUGAUAUCUUUUCAGUACUAGCCGAAAGUCUUUUUUUCUCACUUGACUAUUGCCUCCCAGACUAAUUAUGAGAACAAACAAAAUGAAAAAUCCAUGGUAGGAUACCCCAGGUGCCAAGAGAUGGAUCUGAUUGUUUAUUAGGAAAAAGAUCAUUCUGAGAAUUCUAACUUAAAUAUAAAUAUGUGAGGAAUCAAUAAAAGUAAUCAAAAUCAUGUAAUAGUUUCAAUACUCUUUUUAAAUAUAUAUUCCUAUUUCCUUUACAGGUUAACCUGAGGUUUAUGUUUUAUUUUCUAUUUAUUUUUUAUUCUAUUCAACGUCGUUCAGAGCCCUAUCUUAUUACACUUUUAGCGACACUGACAAGUUAUUACAGAAUCUAGCCACAUUGUUUUCUUAUAGUGGAAUUUGUUAAAUU